rnacentral:rRNA from 1 species
AGGGUUUGAUCCUGGCUCAGAACGAACGCUGGCGGCAUGGCUAAAACAUGCAAGUCGAGCGCGAAAGGUUCCUUCGGGAGCCGAGUAGAGCGGCGGAAGGGCGAGUAAUGCAUGGGAACGUACCUCCUGCUCAGGGAUAGCUCACCGAAAGGUGGGGUAAUACCUGAUGAUCCGGCAACGGCAAAGGUGGGGACCCCUUCGGGGGCCUUCCGGCGGGAGAGCGGCCCAUGUCCUAUCAGCUAGUUGGUGAGGUAACGGCUCACCAAGGCGACGACGGGUACCGGGACUGAGAGGUUGGCCCGGCGCAUUGGGACUGAGACACUGCCCAGACUCCUACGGGAGGCUGCAGUAACGAAUAUUCCACAAUGGACGCAAGUCUGAUGGAGCAAUGCCGCGUGCGGGACGAAGCACUUCGGUGUGUAAACCGCUGUCAGGGACCACCAAGCAAAGGAGGCCAAUACCCUCCUGCGUUGAGGCGUCCCAGAGGAAGCCACGGCUAACUUCGUGCCAGCAGCCGCGGUAAUACGAAGGUGGCAAGCGUUGUUCGGAAUCACUGGGCUUAAAGGGCGCGUAGGCGGGCCAGAAAGUGUCUUGUGAAAUCCCACGGCUUAACCGUGGAAUUGCUCGGCAAACUUCUGGUCUUGAGGCAAGUAGGGGUGUGUGGAACUCUUGGUGGAGCGGUGGAAUGCGUAGAUAUCAAGAGGAACGCCGAAGGUGAAGACAGCACACUGGACUUGUACUGACGCUGAGGCGCGAAAGCGUGGGGAGCAAACAGGAUUAGAUACCCUGGUAGUCCACGCUGUAAACGAUGCCUACUAGGUUGUGGGGGUUCUGACACUUCCACAGUCGUAGCAAAAGUGUUAAGUAGGCCGCCUGGGGAGUACGGUCGCAAGGCUAAAACUCAAAGGAAUUGACGGGGGCUCACAC